rnacentral:tRNA from 1 species
GCGGGUGUAGUUCAAUGGUAGAACUCGGGCUUCCCAAGCCUGCAAUGUGGGUUCGAUUCCCAUCACCCGCUCCA